AUUUUCUCGGGGGGGCAAUUGCCCCGUUGCCCCCCCGGAUCCGCCAAUGUAGUGAAUGCAGCUGCUGAAGAAAUGUAGGAAUUUGAAUACAGGGCUAAUUUAUGUUUACAACAAGAGGACAUAGUAUUAAAUUAGAGGGGCAAAGGUUUAAAAAUAAUAUCAGGAAGUUUUACUUUACUGCGAGGGUAGUGGGUGCAUGGAAUAGCCUCCCAGCUGAAGUGGUAAAGGUUAACACAGUGAGG